AUGUACAUAAACUGCCUACUUUGCAGGCCUCUGCAUGGAGUCGCAAAUUCUUCUGCCCUUGCAUUCACACAUAGUGUGUGCUUCAUGUCCUUGGGUGGUAUCACCUCCCUGUGCAGAUAUGGGAUCUGUCCUGGACUUGGGCUUUCUCAUAGCCUUGUAGAAAUCUCUUCAUUCUUCUGGCAAAAAAAAAAGAAAAAGAAGAAAAAGAAGAAAAAAAGAAGAAAAGAAAAAAGAAAGCAAAAAAGAAAAAAGAGAAAAAAGGACAAAGGAAAAAAGAAAAAGGAAAAAAGAAAAGGAAAGAAAAAAAAAGAAGUUUUUUACCUAAAAAAUCCAAACAUUCAAAGUUAA
rnacentral:rRNA from 1 species